rnacentral:miRNA from 1 species
CGCUGGCGCACUGUUUGACGGU